CGCGCAGGCGGCCUCUUAAGUCUGAUGUGAAAGCCCCCGGCUCAACCGGGGAGGGCCAUUGGAAACUGGGAGGCUUGAGUAUAGGAGAGAAGAGUGGAAUUCCACGUGUAGCGGUGAAAUGCGUAGAGAUGUGGAGGAACACCAGUGGCGAAGGCGACUACCUGGACUAACACUGACACUGAGGUGCGAAAGCGUGGGGAGCAAACAGGAUUAGAUACCCCAGUA
rnacentral:rRNA from 1 species